GUAGGGUGCAAGCGUUAAUCGGAAUUACUGGGCGUAAAGCGUGCGCAGGCGGUCCGCUAAGACAGAUGUGAAAUCCCCGGGCUUAACCUGGGAACUGCAUUUGUGACUGGCGGGCUAGAGUAUGGCAGAGGGGGGUAGAAUUCCACGUGUAGCAGUGAAAUGCGUAGAGAUGUGGAGGAAUACCGAUGGCGAAGGCAGCCCCCUGGGCCAAUACUGACGCUCAUGCACGAAAGCGUGGGGGGAGCAAACAGGAUUAGAUACCCUGGUAGUCCACGCCCUAAACGAUGUCAACUAGUUGUCGGGUCUUCAUUGACUUGGUAACGUAGCUAACGCGUGAAGUUGACCGCCUGGGAGUACGGUCGCAAGAUUA
rnacentral:rRNA from 1 species